GACGAGCGGCGGACGGGUGAGUAAUGUCUGGGAAACUGCCUGAUGGAGGGGGAUAACUACUGGAAACGGUAGCUAAUACCGCAUAACGUCGCAAGACCAAAGAGGGGGACCUUCGGGCCUCUUGCCAUCAGAUGUGCCCAGAUGGGAUUAGCUAGUAGGUGGGGUAACGGCUCACCUAGGCGACGAUCCCUAGCUGGUCUGAGAGGAUGACCAGCCACACUGGAACUGAGACACGGUCCAGACUCCUACGGGAGGCAGCAGUGGGGAAUAUUGCACAAUGGGCGCAAGCCUGAUGCAGCCAUGCCGCGUGUAUGAAGAAGGCCUUCGGGUUGUAAAGUACUUUCAGCGGGGAGGAAGGCGAUAAGGUUAAUAACCUUGUCGAUUGACGUUACCCGCAGAAGAAGCACCGGCUAACUCCGUGCCAGCAGCCGCGGUAAUACGGAGGGUGCAAGCGUUAAUCGGAAUUACUGGGCGUAAAGCGCACGCAGGCGGUCUGUCAAGUCGGAUGUGAAAUCCCCGGGCUCAACCUGGGAACUGCAUUCGAAACUGGCAGGCUAGAGUCUUGUAGAGGGGGGUAGAAU
rnacentral:rRNA from 1 species